rnacentral:rRNA from 1 species
UACGGAGGGUGCAAACGUUGCUCGGAAUUAUUGGGCGUAAAGCGCACGUAGGCGGCCGACUAAGUCGGGUGUGAAAGCCCUGGGCUCAACCCAGGAAGUGCACUCGAAACUGGCGGGCUUGAGUAUCGGAGAGGUUGGUGGAAUUCUCGGUGUAGAGGUGAAAUUCGUAGAUAUCGAGAGGAACACCGGUGGCGAAGGCGGCCAACUGGACGAAUACUGACGCUGAGACACGAAAGCGUGGGGAGCAAACAGG